UCUAAAUACGAUUACCUCUGAUUGCCACUGAACCUAAGUGCGAAGUUUGGUAUAUUCAAUAGUUAAUCCCACUCAUAGUCGCAAAGUAAGAAUUCAUACGUUCCUAAGUUCUAGGAGCAGAAUUGGGCCAUUCGGCCCAUCAAAUCUACCCCACCAUUCAAUCAUGGCUGAGCUAUCCUCUAUCUAUCUUUCCCUCUCAAUCCCCAUUCUCCUGCCUUCUCCCCACAACCCCUGACACCCUUACUAAUCAAGAAUCUGUCAAUCUCUGCCUUACAAAAAUCCAUUGACUAGGUCUCCACAGCUGUCCGGGGCAAUUAAUUCCACAGACU